AAGACAGAUGGCGGCGUGCCUAAUACAUGCAAGUAGAACGCUGAAGAGAGGAGCUUGCUCUUCUUGGAUGAGUUGCGAACGGGUGAGUAACGCGUAGGUAACCUGCCUUGUAGCGGGGGAUAACUAUUGGAAACGAUAGCUAAUACCGCAUAACAAUGGAUGACACAUGUCAUUUAUUUGAAAGGGGCAAUUGCUCCACUACAAGAUGGACCUGCGUUGUAUUAGCUAGUAGGUGAGGUAAUGGCUCACCUAGGCGACGAUACAUAGCCGACCUGAGAGGGUGAUCGGCCACACUGGGACUGAGACACGGCCCAGACUCCUACGGGAGGCAGCAGUAGGGAAUCUUCGGCAAUGGGGGCAACCCUGACCGAGCAACGCCGCGUGAGUGAAGAAGGUUUUCGGAUCGUAAAGCUCUGUUGUAAGUCAAGAACGGGUGUGAGAGUGGAAAGUUCACACUGUGACGGUAGCUUACCAGAAAGAGACGGCUAACUACGUG
rnacentral:rRNA from 1 species